GAUGAAGAACGCAGUGAAGUGCGAUAAGUAGUGUGAAUUGCAGAAUUUCGUGAAUCAUCGAAUCUUUGAACGCAAAUUGCACUCUCCGGUUUUCCGGGAGAGUAUGCCUGUUUGAGGGUCAGCCUAAAUAAAUUCGGCUUCGUUGCUGUUGUUUUCGCGGUAACGUUUUUAGUCGGGAUUUGGGUCAUCUUAAACCGAAAGGUUUUUAAGCGACUUAAAAUUUUUUUACGAUCCCACGAACGUUUCUAAGUACUUCUUACACGUUCAAGGUAUCGAAAACCCCUAUUAGGCGUGGCCGUCGUAUCGGAUCGCGUCCAUAAUAUUUAUUCUUUAACUGACCUCAGACAGGUAAGAAUACCCGCUGAACUUAAGCAUAUCAAUAAGCGGAGGA
rnacentral:misc_RNA from 1 species